rnacentral:rRNA from 1 species
GUGAUCAUCGAAUCUUUAGAACGCACAUUGCGCCCUAUGGUAUUCCAUAGGGCAUGCCUGUUUGAGCGUCAUUUCUCUCUCAAAUCUUCGGAUUUGGUUUUGAGUGAUACUCUUAGUCAGACUAAGCGUUUGCUUGAAAUGUAUUGGCAUGAGUGGUACUAGAUAGUGCUGAACUGUUUCAAUGUAUUAGGUUUAUCCAACUCGUUGACCAGUAUAGUAUUUGUUUAUUACACAGGCUCGGCCUUACAACAACAAACAAAGUUUGACCUCAAAUCAGGUAGGACUACCCGCUGAACUUAAGCUUAUCAAUAAGCGGAGGA